GACAAUCUCACAAUUAAAAAUAUUUUGACAAAUUUUAGUCUAUUAGCGGAUAUCCAUCUAUCAUUUUCAACACACACAACCGAGAUAGAUUAAUCAUCAAGAGAUCAAAUUUGAUUUCCAAAAUUUUGAUGAAUAUAUGCAUUAAAAAAUCAUAUAUUAAAUUAUCAUCAAAAUAUUAAAAAGUGGAGUAAAAACGAUAAUUAAUAUGAAUUUAACUUAAUAUGAUUGUGAAUUUAAAUACCGUUUAAGCGACUUUUGAAAAAAAAAAUUUCUCUCCUCAAAAAAAUAAUGAUUCUCAAUCAUCUCCUUUCUCAAAAAUAAUUUUUAAACAAACAAAAUUCAAAACACCAAAAAUCAUUUAAAUAUGUAAUGCAAUGAAUAAAAUUAU
rnacentral:lncRNA from 1 species